UAUAACCGUAAUUCCCAACCCACCUCUCAAGGCACACCAGCACAACGCAAUCACAAUCAUCGCAGUUAAGAUUUAUUGACACACUAACAAAGCCACUUUUCCUUAAUCAAUCUGGACUUGACAUACAGUAUUUCUCGUCAUCAAAUUACUGGAUACAAUUACUGAAUUUUCAAACUUAAAGGGUUACUCCGACCAAAAACAGUGCUUUAAUAUAACAGUUUUAGAUGGAUUAACCAAUGUUGAUAUUGGCUCCCCCUUAAAAAAAAAUAAAAAAUUAACAAUGAACUUACCUUAGAUCCCACACUGAGCCCAAGUUCUCCUUAAAAGAAAAAUUCCGUACAG